rnacentral:rRNA from 2 species
CAUGCAAGUCGAGCGAACGGAUAAGGAGCUUGCUCCUUUGAAGUUAGCGGCGGACGGGUGAGUAACACGUGGGUAACCUACCUAUAAGACUGGAAUAACUUCGGGAAACCGGAGCUAAUGCCGGAUAACAUAUAGAACCGCAUGGUUCUAUAGUGAAAGAUGGUUUUGCUAUCACUUAUAGAUGGACCCGCGCUGUAUUAGCUAGUUGGUAAGGUAAUGGCUUACCAAGGCGACGAUACAUAGCCGACCUGAGAGGGUGAUCGGCCACACUGGAACUGAGACACGGUCCAGACUCCUACGGGAGGCAGCAGUAGGGAAUCUUCCGCAAUGGGCGAAAGCCUGACGGAGCAACGCCGCGUGAGUGAUGAAGGUUUUCGGAUCGUAAAACUCUGUUAUUAGGGAAGAACAAAUGCGUAAGUAACUGUGCGCAUCUUGACGGUACCUAAUCAGAAAGCCACGGCUAA